UCCGGAGACUGUGAACUUCCGGUCCCCAAGCUUCCAGAGAUUGCAAACUUCCGGCCUCUCUGGAAACUUCUGGUCCUCAAGGCUUUUCCCAUGAACUUCCUGGAGACCCCUUCCCGAGGAAGGUCCCAGGUGGAAGCCCGCGAGGCACCGUGAGAUGGGGCAGUGCUCAUUCAGGAAAUGGAGUCAUCAGUACUACAGCGCCCAGGCCGGCGGCCCUUCCGGUAGAAUGGCUCCGAAGCAGGAAGCAAUGCGUCCGUUUGCGUGUUAAAAAUGAAGCGAGCUUAAUAAGUAACCAAGCUCCGCAGUCAGUACCCGGUGUGGGUGUUUCCCUUUGUCUGCUGUGUUCACUUCUUGGGAUUCUCCCUGGGAGCAGAGGAGACUUCUCUGCGUGGUGUUAGAGACCCAGCUGUAUUUCAUUCAUUAGCUUCAUUGUUACUGUGUGAAGGGUCUUCUCCAAGGCGGGGCGGGAGGGAGCUCUGUUACUCGGGAAUGAGCGGGAGCACCCUGCCUGCCUCCCGUGCUGCUCCGAGGCUUCCCUCCCAGGGCUGUGUCUUGCAAGCUCCCGGGGUCCUGGAGUGACGAGCCUUGUGCCUUGUUUCAGAGCUGGAGGACACAGGGCGGGCCGGCUCUGUCCAGGCUCUGCAGGAGCUGGCGGUGGAGGACACCGGGGACGUGGCUCUGUCCAGGGUGCACAGGAGCCCACAGUGGAGGACACGGGGGAGGCGGCUCUGUCCAGGGUGCACAGGAGCCCACAGUGGAGGACACGGGGGAGGCGGCUCUGUCCAGGGUGCACAGGAGCCCACAGUGGAGGACACGGGGGAGGCGGCUCUGUCCAGGGUGCACAGGAGCCCACAGUGGAGGUCACGGGGGAGAUGGCUCUGUCCAGGUGCACAGGAGCCCACGGUGGAGGACACGGGGGAGAUGGCUCUGUCCAGGGUGCACAGGAGCCCACAGUGGAGGACACGGGGGAGGCAGCUCUGUCCAGGGUGCACAGGAGCCCACGGUGGGGGACACAGGGCGGGCUGGCUCUGUCCAGGGUGCACAGGAGUCCACAGUGGAGGACACGGGGGAGAUGGCUCUGUCCAGGGUGCACAGGAGCCCACAGUGGAGGACACGGGGGAGGCAGCUCUGUCCAGGGUGCACAGGAGCCCACAGUGGAGGUCACGGGGGAGGCGGCUCUGUCCAGGGUGCACAGGAGCCCACAGUGGAGGACACGGGGGAGGCAGCUCUGUCCAGGUGCACAAGAGCCCACAGUGGAGGAAUCAGCAGGCCGGCUUGGUCCAGGCUUGGUCCAGGCUUGAUCCAGGCUCUGUAGGAACCCGAUGGGCAAACCCAGGAGCUCACCCCUGAUGCUCAGUUUUUGCUCUGUUUGUUUUCAAUCCAGGAGGUCUUUAAGGGCCUUGUUUUUUUUUAAUGGUCUGUGAUUAUAGAAAUUCACAUAUACAGAUUAAGCACAUAGGGUUAAUUCCUACCCAUGCUCCCACCCUCUCUCCUCCUCCUCUUAGUCUAAUUUUUGCAGUGACACUGUUUCAGCUUACUUUAUUUUUUCAUUAUUAUUUUAUUUUUUUUGACAGGCAGAGUGGACAGUGAGAGAGAGAGACAGGGAGAAAGGUCUUCCUUUUUGCCGUUGGUUCACCCUCCAAUGGCCACCGCGGCUGGCGCACCGCGCUGAUCCGAAGCCAGGAGCCAGGUGCUUCUCCUGGUCUCCCAUGGGGUGCAGGGCCCAAGCACCUGGGCCAUCCUCCACUGCACUCCCUGGCCACAGCAGAGAGCUGGCCUGGAAGAGGGGCAACCGGGACAGAAUCUGGCGCCCCGACCGGGACUAGAACCCGGUGUGCUGGCGCCGCAAGGCGGAGGAUUAGCCUAGUGAGCCGCGGCGCUGGCCUCAGCUUACUUUAUAAUCCUAAGCUCAACCUUCCACGAAGUAAAGGACACAACAGGUAGAAGGAAGAAACACUGUUCCUCAACAGUAGAGACAAAGGGCUGUAAUCAAUAUUCAGUUCUCAGAAUGUCAGUUUCACUCAUAUACAUCGCAUUUUUUUUUGUUCUAUAAGUUACCACAGAGCAGGGAAAACACAUUGUAUUUGUCGUUUUGUGACUGACUUAUUUCACUAAAUAUAAUGGUUUCCAGGUGCAUGCAUCUUGUUGCAAAAGAGGAUUUCAUUCUUUAUGGCUGAGUAGUAUUCCGUGAUGUACGUAUUCACAUUUUCUUCAUCCAGUCACAGGUUGAUGGGCAUCUGGGUUGGCUCUGUAUCUUAACUUGGGGGGUACAGAUCACUCUUUCACAGGAUGAUUUCAUUUCCUUUGGGUGAAUUCCCAGGGGUGGGCUGGCAGGGUCGUGUGGUCGAUCUCUUUUCAGAUUUCUGAGACAUCGCCAUACUGUCUUCCAUCAUGGUUGUAGUAGUUACAUUCUCACCAACAGUGCAUUAGGGCACCCUUCCCCCCAUAUCUGCCAGCAUUUAUUGUUUUCUGAUUCCUGAAUGAGGGUCAUUCCACCUGGGGUGAGGUGAAACCUCAUUGUGGUUUUGACUUGCAGUUCCCUGAUGGCUGGUGAUCCUGAGCGUUGUUUCAUGUGUCUGUUGGCCAUUUGCAUUUCAUCUUUUGAAAAACGCCGGUUCAAGUCCUUUGUCAAUUUCCUAACUGGAUUGUUUUGUUGUUGUUGAGUUUCUUAAGCUGUUUAUUGAUUCUGGAUAUUAAUCCUUUAUCAGUUGUGGAGCUUGCAAAUAUUUUCUUCCUUUCUGUUGGUUGACUUUUAACUUUGUUGAGUGUUUCUUUUGCAAUGCAGAAGCUUGAUAUAAUCCCAUUUGUCUAUUUUUGCUUUGAUUGCCCAUGCUUCUGGGUUCUUUUCCAAGAAAUGUUUCCCUAAUGUUCUCCUCUAGUAAUUUGAUGGUAUCAGGUCUUAGAUUUAGCUUCUUGAUCAAUUUUGAGUAGAUUCUUGUACAAGGUGUCAAGUAGUGGUCUUGUUUCACACUUCUGCCUGAGAUGCAGUUUACAACUGAACGCUGGAUGAGUCGCAUGGAAGGUUGUGGCUGCACUAAUUUCCUGUAUGUGGAGAUCCAGUUUUCCCAGCGGCAUUUGUUGAAGAGACUGUCUUUGCUGCAGGGAUACAUUUUAGCAGUAUGGGAGGGACCCAGCGCCUGGUGGGUUAAGAAAGCGCUUUCUCUCGCAUCUUCUCCUCAUUGUUCCCAGUGAGUAAGCCGCCCUCAUCUUCCUACAGCUUGCUUUAAUUACUCUGGGCGAAUUCAAACAAGAGAUAUUGAUCUUCCCUCUGGUUCACUCCUCAAAGGUUUGCAACAGCCAGGAGUGGGCCAGUCCAAAGCCAGGAGCCAGGAACUCCAUCCAGGUCUCCCAUGUGGGUGGCAGGGACCCAAGUGCUUGAACCAUCACUGCUACCUCCCAGGGCGCACAGUAGCAGGAGCCAGGACUCAGACCACAUACAGGAUGUGGGUGCCCCAGGGGAUGGCUUAACCACUGGGCCACACACUUGUCCCAGCCUUGCGCUUUUUGCUACCAUGUGGUCGGCUGGCUUGUAUCCAUGAAAGGUCCCUUCUGGUCCAGCAUAUAAUUUAGUGUCUCAGAUACUGCAGCCACAAACAACCUUCCAAGAGACUCAUGCAGUGUUCAGUUGUAGCCUGCAUCUCAGGGAGCAUGAACACAUCACGUUUCUCUGGGAGUGGCUUGGUUUCACGGCAGCCCCAACUCCACACAGCACAUGUGCAGGUGGGCCGUGGAUGACCUGGUCCCCCACUCCCCGGUGAGAUUCCUGGUCCCACCCAGUUCUGGUCUCUGCCCUGAGACUUUACCCGUAGCCAUCUUUCACAGGUUUGGAGAACGUUUCUGCUCAUUUCAUUGCUCUGGGCAAAAAGUCCUUCCUUUCUUUUCCUGCCAAGUUUUUCUCAGGAUCAGCGUGACCUUAACACAGAAGGAGCAGGAAAUGAUAAAUAUAUUGAUUCCUUUAUUCACAGCCCGGCCAGCACUUCUCAUGUCAACCUGGGGCUGGCAGCGAAUGCUGCAGUCCAGUGAGCCACGCAGAAAACGACAGUAAGUGCUGUGUGUGGAGGAGGGCGGAGCCCUGGGGUCCUCGCCUGUGUGGAGGAGGGCGGCCGUGUCCUGUCCAGCCUCUCACGGCUAUCUGACAGCGUGGCCUGAAAAGAAGUGAGCAUUUGAGGACGUGGGAGAGAGCGACUGGCGUGGCGGGUGUCCAUGAAUUUGAAUGGCUUUCUUUCCUGGGGGAAUCUAUGCUUUGGGUACAGAGCGGUGUGGCGAUUAACAUCUUUUUGAGAAAAUGGCACAGAUAGUCUCAGCUGUCACCUCUUUGUGGAGCCAGAACGUGCAGGAACCCGGGUUGUGCUGGGAUUGUCCUGCGGUGAGAGUCUGGCUGGGAAGCAGAGGCAGACGCCAGUUCCGACCUCGUUUAUCAGAAAGGCCACCCGUUCAGCUUCCUCUGUGUGGGCUCUGUGCUGUCCAUCAACUGACCUGAACGUCAGCGAAGAGAGCUGUGUUAUGUUUCUUGUGACCACGGUGGAGUGGCCAUGUGAGCCCGAAGUGUGCGGGGCUGAGUCAGGGUGGAGACAUCCUGCCCCCAGGCUGGCGUGCCUCUUCCCUCCUGAGGUGUAUCUAGCAUGGUCCACGGAAGAUGUGUUCCCAGGCCCUGCGUGAUUGUGCCGAACGCACUGUAAACCGUCUUCUCCCGUACGGGUGCGCCUUGGAGAAAGUUUACCUUAUCCGCAAGGCACAGCAAUAGUACAGUGCAGUGGCUCCAAAACCAAACUGGUGACAUCGCCUACACGGCCACUCGUGCACUGCAGGGUCGUGGUGGAGUGCAGUGAGCGUCCACGAGCCCGAGCCCUGCCUUGGGGCUACAGAGCACCUGGCAGCCGAGAUGGCUCCAGGCCGAGUGGUGGGCGAGUGGAGUGUGUGGUGUGGGUGCACUGGCCAUGGGGGUGAGCCACGCCCUGGGUGGACGGGGAGCGGCUCCUUCACAGGGCUCUGCGUGCUGCUCGGCCGAAAACCCGAGUUGUUUAUUUCUGGAGCUUUCCAUGUCGUAUUCUUGGGACCCCAGUUGGUUGUACGUAAGGAGGCUGCUGUACCCACGAGUGGACAUGGAGCGGGGCACUGUUGAGGGGUGCGUUGCGUGGUUUUAGUUGGUGUUGGGUAAGGGUUUCAGCUCUGCAGUGGGCUGGGAGAGGUGGACGUUCAGUGCUCAUUGAGCUGCAGGGAAGGAGACGAGCGGAGGCUUUCUGGAAUCCCGGUCUUCCCGGUGUGAUCCCGCCUUAGGGCAAGGCCACGUCCAGCCUUCCACCCACUCUCUCCCUCCCUCCCUCUCUGUUUCUGUCUCUUUUUAAAAAGAUUUUAUUUGUUUGAAAGGUAGAGUUACAGACAGUGAGAGAGGGAGAGACAGAGAGAGGUCUUCCAUCUGCUGGCUCCCUCCCCAGAUAGCCACAAUGACCGAAGCUGCUUUCCCAGGCCACAGCAGAGAGCUGGAUCAGAAGAGGAGAAGCCGGGACUAGAGCUGGCACCCAUAUGGGAUGCCUGUGCCGCAGGCGGAGGAUUGGCCUAGUGUGCCACAGCGCCAGCCCCCCGCCCCCUCUUACCUGCUGCCCGCGGCACGUGUGUUUCAGGCUGGAAUCUCAGUGCAGGGAAGACUUGCGUGGGUGCUGUGUAGGGCAUGUGUGACAGCUGGGACCGCUGGGCCCUCACCCUUGGCGUCAGGAGAAUGUGGCUGUGACUCGUGCCCAUCACCCUCAAGAGCUGCCUGCCCUCUGUCCCUCCUCUCCUCCGUACCCUCCCCCCGUCCCCCGCCUCUUAUCCACUCCUUAUGCUUGUCCUGAAAUUCUUUGUGAGCUCCCAGGCUGGGAUCACCAUGCUGUGUUCAGUUCCAGAAAUUCCUGGGCCAGGCAUCUGGCUCUGGUUGGCACCUGUGUCCCAUAUCAGAGAUGUUAGAUUCGUCUCCUGGCUGUGCGUCCAGCCCAGCCCCCUGCCGGUGCACACCCGAGAGGCAGCAGGUGACGGCUCAAGGCUUUGGGUCCCGGCCAUUCACCUGGGAGACCUAGAUUGAGAUCAGAGAUCCUGGCCUUGGCCUGGCCCAGCUCUGGCUGAUAUGAAUGUUUGGGGAGUGAAUCAGCGGAUGGAAGAUCUCUGUCUUCUGCUUUUCAAAUAAUGAAUAAUAAAUAAAUACAUUGUUUAAGAAAGCUGACUGAUAGUUUUAAAGAAAUUCAUGAAAUUUCUUUUUUUAAGUUCCUUAUCGAAGGGACUUUUUGUUUGGAAAGCAUAAACUAAAUGAGAAGGGUCUUGGGUUUUGGAAAGACUCCAGUGGACUUGCCGUUUCAUCCUGAGGAGGUGAUGAGAGAGCAGCAGGCAUUGCCGUGUCACACCUGAAGGCGAUGAGGGCGUUGUCUAAAUAACUGGGAAUGGGAGGGCCAGCAGGGCAGGUGCAUCGCAGAUAUUUCUCUCUGACUUCUCCUAGAAACUCAGGCUCAGCCUGGAGCCAGAGGAGGCACAGCCUGCUGCUGCACGCUCACGGUCUCAGCACCUGCACCUGCUCUGCACAUCCCUGCCCCGGGCCGGCCGUGGCCUCACGGGUCUGCAGCCUGGUGUGUCUGGCUCCAUGGAAACCGACUUUGUGCAGGAGUGCAGAGCAGUUACGCCAGGCAUUGGGAGAAGCACAGCGUAAGGGGUGGAAGCUGCUUUGGUGUGUGGUGACCACCGCACAGUGGGCGUGGAGACUUCCUGUGCGGGCUCAGGGACGUGUUCUCCCUGACGUGUGCAGGAACAGAGCGGGUGUGGGCCGGGACCUUGCAUCAGCUGACCACGCGGUCACAGUGGUAGUGUGGCAGAGUGUGGCUUGCCAAGGGCCUCUGCUGUCUCCAGAGUCACUUUUCUCACAGUCAGAAAUUCCCCCAAGGGCAGGUGUUUAGCCCAGUGGCUAAGAUGCCAGUAGAAGCGCACACAUCCCACAUCAGGUGCCUGCCCCCAGCUCCCUGCUAAGAAUGUGCACCCUGGGAGGCAGCGGGUGAUGGCUCGGGUAGCUGGGACCCUGCCACCCACGUGGGAAGCCUGGAUGGAGUUCCCACCUCCUGGCUUUGGCCGGGCUCAGCCCUUGCUGGUAUUUGGGGCUUGAGCCACUGAAUGUGAGCUCUGUCAGUUUGUUUCUAAUUUAUUUACUAAUUUAAAUAUUAAAAAUAAUUAAUAAAUUAUUAAAAUAUUUACUAAUUUAAAUUAAUUUACUAAUUUAAAUUAGUAAAUAAAAAUUCAUAAAAAAAUCUAUCUCUUUGGGUCAAAAACGAAAUCUAAGUCUGUUGUUAACCUGCUGUCAGUAUCAGGAGACUGCCUUAAAUAACACCUUAACACUUUAGCCUGAGGCCGGCGCCGUGGCUCACUUGGCUAAUCCUCUGCCUGUAGCGCCGGCAUCCUGGGUUCUAGUCCCGGUCAGGGUGCUAGCUACUAGUCCUGGUUGCUCCUCUUUCAGUCCAGCUCUCUGCUGUGGCCCGGGAGGGCAGUGGAGGAUGGCCCACGUGCUUGGGUGCCUGCACCCACAUGGGAGACCAGGAGAAGCACCUGGCUCCUGGCUUCAGAUCAGUGCAGCUCUGGCCGUAGCGGCCAUUUGGCGGGGCGAAUCAACAGAAGGAAGACCUUUCUCUCUGUCUCUCUCUCUCACUGUCUAACUGUGCCUGUCAAAACAAAAACAACAACAAAAUCAAAAACCUUAGCCUGAAUGGCUUGAUAAUGGCAGCAAAACCUUGAGAUAACAGGAAGCAGGACGGAGCAGUGAUAGUGUCUACAUACCUUAUUUGCCGAGUUUAUGGGCUGCAGUGUGGCGUUCAGUGCGCGUCUGCAGUGAGUGUGGGUCAUGUCAGUGAAGCUCACCUUUCCCCUUCUUUGACAUCACUUUAUGAUCAGGCUUGGCACUCGUCUCUUCUGUUUGUUCAUUAAACAUACACUCGUUUGUUGGGCACGGUCGUCACCCCACUGUGCUGGGCGGCAGCCCCAGGAACCCCUUCCUUUGCCUCGCUGGGAUUUAGUGCCUGCCACCCAUGCUCCCUCUGUCCCCGCUCCAGUGAUCACCACUCCGCGCUUCUGCACAGGAGAGAGAACGCGUGACAUUUGGCUUUCUGUGUGGGCUUGUCUCAAACCCAGCAUCCUCCAGUGACAGCAUUUGGUUCCUUUAAUGGCUGAAUAGCAUUCCACUGACAGCGCUCACUCGUGGGGUGUCAACAGCUGGAUCCUGUUAAGCUAGGGGUGGGCAGGAGCUGCGGGGCAGGAUGGCUGGGGAGGGAGCAGGGCGUCAUCCAGGUGCAGACGUAUCCCUACUGUGGAGGUCACACCCAGCCCUGUGCUGUGGGGGCCUCUCUCUCCUACCAGGGCAGGAACCAGGUGGGAGACGCCCAGGCCUGCAGGGUUGCCUGGUUUUAGCCUAUUCUGCCAUUUAAAUGUCCUCAGUCAAGAUGGUCAGGCACUUCAGGAAACUUAAGAAAUGCAUGUAACUCCAGCUAGAAAACAAGCAUUCUAACCACCUUUGUAAGCAACUCAUAAAAGCCAUAAGCCCAGGAACCCAAAUGCUGGUAAAAACCAACCGCAGUGGGUCAUUCGGAUGGUGUGAAGUUUGUGUGUGCCCAAGCGUGGGGUUAGUUAGCUCCCUGUAGUUCCCAGUGUGGUUCUACGGUGGAGAUGGAGGAAAGCGCCAGUGUGUGGACUGAGAAGUCCCUUCCUGUUGUGCUGAUGGCCACGAGCUACCCUGGGCAGCUGUGUUCCAGGCUUCUCUAGACAGACCAGAUGUUAGCACGCAGAAGGCUCAGACACGCCGCAAAGAGCCCAGGGCAGGGGCAGAGGACCAAGGAAGAGAAAGGGUAGACAGGACAGGGAGGCAGAUGCCUGGGAUCUCGGGAGCCCAGACCUCUGUGGGUAGGUUGAAGAAGAGGGUCAGUUAAGAUGGAGCUCGACUGUGUGCACCGUGCAGGCUAAGUCUCAUCUGGACCCACAGAAGGUGAAAGGACACGCUGGCUUCCUGGAGAGUCCUCCACUCUGUGGAGCCUGAGAGGCAAGGGUGACACCACCGCCUUCUGCCGUCCCCUUUUGAGGGGCAUACUUCCCUCCUGAAAUGCUUUCUAUUAACCCUUUCCAGGAAGUGCAUCUCAGGGGUGGGAAGAGGAGCGAGUGGUAGGGGUGCACCCUGCAUUACUGGGCUGGGGUGCAGGCAAGAGUGGACCCUGAGCCCCGCAGAUCCACCUUUUCAUUCCACAAGCUCUGCCUUGGCUGUCGCUGCGGGGCGCUGAUGUCAGCUGGUGAGCGUGUCCCUUGCUGGUUACGGCGGCCAGGCCAGAGGCUGACCCCAGACGGUCCAGGAUCAGAGAACCACAGGCACCCGGAUCCCAGCCUCUGCAGCAAUCUUCCAGUAAGGAUGUGUGCAUGGACGGAGGCCGUCCUGCCUGCUUCUCCAAGUGGCUCCCACACACAAGUGCUGCUGAACAAUUUAUUUUUCAGAUAAUACCAGGCGCUGGCUGGAAGACAUGCAGCAGGGAAACACAGUAAUUAAUUAGCCACUGAAACCUGAGGGGUCCGGCUCCACUUAUAGGUGAUAAUGAAUGUUCUGCAUGUAAUUAGCACGAAUAAUUAGCACAUUCCGUGGUAACAAAUCCACUGACUGGUACUCUGCAAACAACAUUAAUUGUUGUGCUAACAGAGGCAAUUGUGUCUGUUUAUUGUCUGACAAUGUCCCGUAUUUACACUAAUAGCUACUCUAGACCUCUGUGUGGCUUCCUGCAGGAGGGAGGGGAGUCUAUAAAACCGUGCCUCUUCCGUCUGCUUCUCAGAAGUUUCAAGACCACCAGGGGACUUGUUUGUCAAAACUCGUUAAGCAAUUUGUAAUCUUUAACAUGUGUUUUACUGUAUUAGUGGAUGAACCGUUCAAAUCAACUGGCUGGGUAAGUCGGCCAUCGAUCAAAUGCUGACAUUUUUUAACUGUAGGAACUUUGUCUACUUUCAGCCCUCCCUGGAAAGGGAAUAUAUAAAAAUGUUAAACUUAGGUUGGGCUGGUGCGUUGAGAGGUGGUUGCAGGCAUACAACUGCAAUGCCUUUUUAUUCCACAAAGCUCCAGUUGACUGACAGAGGGAGGAGCCACUGCAAGGCGGAACCUGUGGGGCGAGGGGCGGGUCCCUUGCCUGCCAGGAACACACUAGGGCUGUCUGCUGCCCCCACAGCAGGUAAAAGCCACACACAGUAGGCUACUUUCUAACUGACUUUGGAGCGGGUUUUUCAAAUGUUUGAAGCUUACAGCAGGGGGAAGUAACUGGUGAAAAGGCAUGUUCUAGCAAAUUCUUAGGCUACAGGGGAUCCCUGUGGGCGCCUAUUUGCAUUUCACAGGCGCUGAAUGGAGAUGGAAUGGAGGCUGUGGUGAUGGUGGAGGACCAGACCUCCUGUGCUGGCCUGGUUUCUCGGCCAUGCCCUUGAGAGGUGACGUGUGGCGCUUACGGCCGCCUGUGUGGAUAUCUGGGCCCCUUCGUGGUUGCCUUUUGGGACCCAGAGGUCAGGAUCGGCGCUGUUGUAAGGCCGUCACAAAACACCAAACGCCGGAGUCAGAGAAAGCAUUUAUUGGUGGGGGAAACCUGAGAGACAGGAGGGAAGGGGCGAAGAAGGAAAAGAGAGCAUGAGAGAGAGAUCGACAGAGCGAGUGAGCCACGUGUUCAGGAACAGGUCCCGUUAAACCUUUGCCGGGGCAGGCAGGGGAGUAGGAGCUUCGAAUCCCGUUAGGGUGGGGUGGAGCUGACACCUGUGGUUGGGCCAUGUGGCCACCUGGCUUACAGCAAGGGGGUGGGCGGGGCUAGAGCCUAGGAUGGCGUCGGGGGCGUCCGUUGCGCCACAGAUAAGACUGCGCCAUUUUACUAACAGCUAUCACUCCACUUCUGUUUCUACCUCGUGUUCCCAGCUGCGUGUCAGCGGCUUCAGUCCAGAGCAUCACUUUGCUCCCAAAUAGCUACAGAUUGUCUGACUCCAGGUUGGUUGUCGGCCUCAAAAUUCCUGUCUCUUGAUGAGACCUCUGUGUUAUCAGCCAUAGAGUCUUGGUACCUCGGGGUCUCCUUCUCUGCCUGGUUCCAACUGAUUUCCAAGUCAUCCCUGCUGUGUUCUGCCUCACAGCCCUCUGCUAGUGUUCUGCUGCCCCUCUGUUAUUUGCACCGUAUUUUUGGAAGAGAUAGAGACCUCUCGGUCCACUGGGUCCCUCCCCACGUGCCUGCAAUGGCCAGGAUUGGGCCAGGCUGAAGCCAGGAGCUGGGAAUUCAAUCCAGGUGCAGGGUUCACGCACUUGAGCCGCCAUCUGCGGCCUCCCAGGGUGCACGUUAGCAGGGAGCUGGAAGUGGAGAAGCUGGGACAUGAGCCCAGGCACUCUGAGAGGGGGUGCUGGCAUUCCGGGUGGCAUCGGAACGUCUGUGUCCAGUGCCCCUCCCCAGGCCUACCCAAGCCCUCCCCAGGAAACAGGCUUUGCUUUGGCUUCUGUUCGCCCUGGACAUGGUCAGUGUCUUCACCCUCCUGAGAGCCGUGUGUGCUGUGCCCUUCAGUGGCUCAGGGGCAGCUCUGGGCCCAUGCUUGAUGUCCAGAGCCCAGCUCCUCAGGGGAUGCCCACAGCUGUCCGUGGCUGGGUGCUGGUCGCGUGGACGUGGACGCACACUGCUAGACACUCUGCACACAGAUGCUCACCUUGGAACUCCAGGCAGCCCCUGGCCGGCCCGCCCCCUCCUUCCUCCGUCUCUCAUCCAAGUCUGUCCACCUCGCACAGCUCCACUCUCUGCAGAAGCCUCCUGACCACCAGCAGGAACCCAGCACAAAGCUCUCGUCCAAAGCCCGCCUCACCUUGGGCCGAUGGUUUGGUCAGGCCUCAGCUGUGAACUCACUCCUGGCAUUUGCCUCCCCGUGUGUUUCUUGUCUGUGCAGCCAGAGGCCUCAGGGCCCGGGGCGGGGCCUGUUUGUGGUUUCUGAUAAUUCAGUUUUGUAGCAGUCACUUUUUACAUUUGCUCCAAAAUGAAUUUUGUCCUUGAAAUUGUCCUUUCUUUAAAAAGUUUUUUUUUUUUCCCUGUUUUUUAUUUGAAGGAUGGGAUGACACAGAGAGAUAUUAUCUGUCUGCUGGUUCACUUCCUAAAUGACCACAAUUGCUGGGGCUGGGCCAGGCUGAAGCGUAGGUCUCCUAUGUGGGUGGCAGUGGCCCAAGCACAGGGGCCAUCCCUGCUGCUUUCCCAGUGGAGCAGCCGGGUCCCGAACCGGCAUCGCAAGCAUUGUUUCCUUGUUUUCACCCAGGGGAGCGUCUGAGCUCCCAGAUGUCCAAUCAGGUUGUAUCACACCGCCCUAAAUUUCAUUCUGCUUUUCUUUCUUCUCAGAGAGUGAACUCCUUGAUGGGAGGGUCACAUCCAAUUAGCCUCGUAUCCCAGCACCUAGCAAAGUGUGCGUGCGUGCGUGUUUCACUGUGCAGAAAAAGUGAGACUGGUUUCUUUUUUUUUUUUUAAGAUUUAUUUUAUUUCUUUCGAAAGAGCCACAGAGAGGGAGACACACACACACACACACACACACACACACACAGAAGGCUUCCAUUUGCUGGUUCACUCCUUAGAUGGCUCCAUUGUUCAUUGUUGCUUGGCCAAGCCGAAGCCAGAAGCUACAUUUGUGUCUCCCGUGUGGGUGGCAGGGCCCCAAACACUUGGACCAUCUUCCAUUGGUUUUCCCAGGCCACUGGCAGGAAGUGGAGCAGGCAGGGCAUGAACUGGCACCCGACAUGGGAUGCUGGGGUCUCUGGUGGUGACUUUACCUGCUGUUCUACAAUGCCAGCCCUGAUGAGGGUGAUUAAGUAAAGCCAUAGGACAGUUAUUUUUCUUUUCAUCUUCUUGUAGCAAUUUUUUUUGUGGCAGUAGAAUUUUAUUUAUAUUUAGAAACUUGAAAUUUUUAAAAGAUUUAUUUAUUAUUUAUUUAUUUGCAUGGUGGAGUUACAGAGAGAGAGAGAAAGAGAGAGAUACUGUACUGUUGGUUCACUCUCAAAAUGGCUGCAACAGCCAGGGCUGUGCCAGACAGAAGCCAGACACCUGGAGCUUCUUCUGGGUCUCCUCCGUGGGGACCGGGGUCCAAGCGCGUGGGCCUCCUCUGUUGCUUUCCCAGGCCAUCGGCUGGGAGCAGGAUGGGCUCUCCAACAGGCACCCUUAUGGGAUGCUGGCAUCUCAGGCAGCGGCUUAACCCUCUAUGCCACAACGCCAGCCCUGAGAAACUGGAAUUUUCGAGUUCUUACUUUUGAGAGGCAAGGCAAAUAUUUUGUGAGAGCUUCCUCUUUUGGCACAUUUACCCGUGGCUUUAGCCAGAGUAAGUGAAAGCCAGUUUUCCUGACCUCUCGCUUUUCAGGCCUGUGAAAUCCCUUGAGUUUAGAGUGAGUCUUCCUGGAUCCUGACUGCAGCUUACGGAGAUGCCUUGUGUAGGGUGGAAGGGGCACUGCAAAGUGGUCGUGGAAAAAGGAACGAAAAGGUGAAGAUUUCACUGCAAAAAGAUGGAAAUCCACGCCUAGCUUUUUCAUAACACGCGUUGUCAUAAGCUUCUUGAAAACUCUUUGCAGGCACGGAUUUCAAAUUGCUUUUUUUGCACCAAAAUAAAUUUACCUUUUAAUUCAAUUAUCCCAGACAUUUUGAAGUACCCUCAAGGUAUAUCUCCAGGAGUCCCACCCGUCUGGUGGACAAGAUGCCAUGUCGUUUGUUUUGGUGAUCAAACUUUGAAAUGCAGGGUGGCUGUUCUAAGGGAGAAAGUUCUAUAAGCAAAACUUCAACAAGAGGGAAGCUCAUUCUACAUCUUCUUGGUAUUGCGACUGGUUUUAGCAUCCCGAGUGGAACUGACUUAUUUUCUCACGCAUCUGGGAUUUGCAUUUCCUGUUUCCUUCAUGUGGCCUUGAUUAAAUCCAUAAAAUAAAUAGGGAGGUUUUAUUAGGCUGCAAAUGACCUGGGAUUGCUUUACUUUGCUUAGCGUUUGGCAAGAGUGGGAGAGUCAGCAGGAUUCCCGUCUUUCCUCUUAGGGACAAGUUGGGUUCCACGGCAGGUUGGCAUGUGCACCUGUGUGUAUAUGUGCACGUGUGUGUAUAUGUAAGUUGGGUUCCACGGCAGGUUGGUGUGUGUAUGUGUGUGCACCUGUGUGUAUAUGUGCACAUGUGUGUAUAUGUAAGUUGGGUUCCACGGCAGGUUGGUGUGUGUAUGUGUGUGCACCUGUGUGUAUAUGUGCACGUGUGUAUAUGUAAGUUGGGUUCCCCGGCAGGUUGGUGUGUGUAUGUGUGUGCACCUGUGUGUAUAUGUGCACGUGUGUGUAUAUGUAAGUUGGGUUCCCCGGCAGGUUGGUGUGUGUAUGUGUGUGCACCUGUGUGUAUAUGUGCAUGUGUGUGUAUAUGUAAGCAGUAGGCACUGUAAGUAUUUUGAAUGCAUGUAACAUGCCAGAAUUCAGCCUCUCCCUGGUCUUGGAUAGAAUCCUAUGUUUAGGCCGUGUGGACAUUCGCUUCCAUUUUUGAGCCCAGCUGGCUUCUGGUGUGGACUGUGUGUGAUCAGCUCAUCACUGGGAGAGAGUGUGGCUGGCAGCUGGGUGUGGGGGCAGCUCCGGGGCCGGCUGCUGGCGAGGACUUCUGCACACGCCCAGGGGAAGGGGUGUGGAGGCUCAGUGGGGCAGGGUGCAUUAGGGGUGUGUGAAUCCUGCCCUUCGGUCAGGGACUCCCAGAGUUCCUGUGAGCAGUCUGACAGCUGUCAGUCUGUGACUUUGCCUUCUCGCUUGCACGCAGGCUUUGACUGCGAGGACACAGUAGGUGAGCAGUAGGGGGAAGGAGGCAUGGAGGGUCCCUGCCCGUGCGUUCGGAAAUGAAGUCAGGCGUCUGUGCUGCUCUGGGCGUUUGCUGAUGGCAGCAAGCAAAUGAUCUUCAGGUCUCCGCAGUCAGUCGCCGAGUUAAGUUCAAGCUGGAGAAGCUGCUGUCCGGAUGUUGAAACCCUGACCUACUAGAACGUUCUUCGUGGCAAAGUCUGAGACGACUCCAGGGUCGGAGAGUCGGUGACUCAGGCCUGUGAUUCUUGGAACACGUGGGGAAUCCUUGCUCUUCUCUCCCGUGCGGUAGCCGGAGGCAACCUGUCAGCAGAUAGGUUCCGGCCUGGUGUCGUGGGGCAGGUCGAUUCCUCCCUCUGCCCGCAGCCCUGUGUUUCUCAAACUUCACUUACUGGUCUGACGCACCCCUAGCCAGAGCGAUGGACUCAGAAUGAUUUUAAGUUCAGGUAAUUACGUCUCCGAGUGUUUGGCAUUUAAACUUCAGAGCUGAAUUGGGAGCCUGGUCUCUCUGUAUCUGCUGUGACAAACGUCCUUGAACUAGUCCGCUCGAUACUCAGCUGCAGACAUCAUCAGGAAAUGGAAAGAGGGAGUCUUUCUCCAUUGAUCAUUGGGCAGGCAGCAGCCCCUGGGGGCAGAAGGCUGUCCUCUGAGCUGGGGUGUCUGGUUUUCUCCGCCCCUCGUCCAGGGCAUUGUGGAAGGAGAUGAGAUCCAGGAGUGGUGACUUUCCUGUCUUAGUUGUUCACAUGUAGGCUGAUAUCUGCUACUGUUGCAAGGCAUUUACAUAUGGUUACAGGACGUAUGUCCUGGACCUGCCUGGGGCUUCUUAGUGUUCAAGGGUGCACAUCAGAAGUCCUUGACUCUUAGGAGACAAGCUUCCUCACACUUGCGGGUACUCUGUCAGCUGCUGGGUGUGACCUGAAUGAUUUUAAAAGGCUUAUUUAUUGGACUUGGCACUGUGGUGCAGUGAGCUAAGCUGCUGCCUGCGAUGCCAGCAUCACUUAUUGGAGCGCUGGUUCGAGUCCCGGCUGCUCCACUUAAUAGUUUAGCUCCCUGCUAAUGCACCUGGGCAAGCAGCAGAGGACGACCCAAGUGCUUGGGCCCCUGCGCCCACAUAGACCCCGAUGUAGCUCUCUGGGUUCCUGGCUUUGGCCUGGCCUGGCCCUGGAUGUUGUGGGCAUUUGGGGAGGGAAGCAGCAGGCGGGAGCUGCAGUGGGAAUGCAGGCACUCUGAUAUCGGAUGCAAGCAUCCCAAGUUGGGUCUUACCUGCUGCACCGACUCCUGCCCCUCUAUGUAAGUUUUGAGCAAGACAGGAGUAAAUGUCGCAGCGUACCCAAGGUGUUUCCAGAGGGUGGUGUGAAGUUUCUUAUUGGUACAGAAAAAUUCUCUUCUGAGGGAGAAAGGUUCCUUUGCCUAAGGAAGUCAGAUAUGGGCUGGUGCUUCAAGAAGUGUGUGGCGAAUGGAGUUAAAGGACAGAUUGAUUCUGAUUUUGGUGCAAAAGGUUUUGAACCACGCAUCGUGUUUUCAUCACACACAUUUUCCUGUGAACCUUUGAAGAGCCCUCACACUCUCUGUGUGUCAGGAACACGUGUGAGCCACCUGCUCCUUCAGGUGUGUGAAGCAGGAGGCUUCCGGUGAGCCUGAGCCACACACCCAGUGCCAUCUGACCGGCAGUCGCAGCAAGGGCCCACGCUGGAGGGAGUGACUGGAACUGCGCCAGCGCGGAUGGAGGAGAAAGAAGCGGGGCUAGAGACUGGAGACGUGUACGGCAAUGUCACUGAGCCCGACGCUUGCUAGGGGUUGCAAGUGCCCGAGUGUGUCUUCUGUUUGUCCUCUGCGUGCCCACAUGCAGGUGUUUCUGAUCCUGUUGGUUUCACAGGUGAGUUGGAGCUCAUUGCCUAAACAUUUAGCCUGCUUGCUUUAGAUGCCUCUCUGAACUUUGAAAUACGUUCCCAGCCUCUGCUGAUGACUUUGCACCACACCCUAGGAAUACCGAUCGGCAAGGCACCCAGCUCCUGCCGCUCCUGGGCACCACGCCUACCCCAGCACUGCACAUGCUGGCUCUGUGAUCUGCCCCACCGGCAGCCCCUCUAAAGCAGCAGCCGGGGCCAAGCUCCAGUAACUGGCACCAGGUAGGCGACAAAAGUAUUCUCGUUGGAUUCUCACGACAGCGCUGAGGUAUGCUGGGAAGAGAGGAGGAAACCCAGGUUCAAAGAGACAGAGCGUUGCUCGCCUCACCGUCUUGUGAUGGACCCAGGCCUCUGCAGUGCAGGGCUUGCUUUGCACCUGCCCAGUGAACCAGGAGCAGUCCCCAGGCAUACCCGGAAUAGCUGGGUAAACAAGCAGCCCGAGUCCUGUGUGUUGUCAUCCAUUGCCCCGUGAGCACGCCGUGUGCUGCAUCCCAGUGUUUUCUGUGCGUGGGCUUGGCUUGUUUCUCCCUGGGGGGUUCUUGUAUGGCUGCCCUGUUACAGACAGAUACACAGGUGGGUGGAGCUGAGGGAGCUGUCACCUGCUGCUGCCUGGUGUUUUUUGAAAUUAAUUAAUUAUGGCAGAGUGGCACA